AGGGGGAGGCAAAUCUGGCGCUUUUUCCUCUUAGCACUCGGGAGAGAGCACUCUGUCUCUGCUUUGCCUGGAGUGAGCCCGGGAGGAAGUGGCUUGUGGGGCCUCCUGAAGAUGCCCUGCCCCGGGGUGGCCCUGAGGGGGACCAGGGCAGAGCAGGACAGGGGUGCUCCCGCGUGGAGGGCAGACGCUGCUCUGGCCGCACCCCUGGCUCCCUUCCUGGGCGCUGCUGCUCAGGGAAGCCUCCAGCCGCCCCAGCACCCCCAGCAGGGGUCUGAGUGUCUGGGCAGCGCCCCCUGCCCGACUCCGGGGCUCUGCUGGCUCCUGGCCCCGCCCCACCUUGGGUCCCUCCUCCCCAACCCAGGGGGGUGGGUCGGCCAGCCUCCCCUCCCCCAGGACCCUCCUUCCUGGGGCCGCCCCCCCUCGGCUCACAGGCAUCAAAGCCCACCCUGGGACCCCAACCCCCCAGCCGUGCCCCGGAGGGAGGAGACCGCGGCUCCCGGGGACACACGAAGGGGCCUGCGUGAGGGCUGGGGCGUGUCGACCCGAGAAAUUGCGUAACCUAAAAGCUGAGAAUUGUGUGUUAUUCGGGAAUUUUCUGAGGACUUAAGCCUGGGAGACGGACCACUGAGGACAUGCAGACGUUUCUAACAAAGACCAGGCAGUCUCAACAUCAAAAGAUCACUCUUUUUUAUUUUAUUUUUUUCCCCAAACAUUACUCAUAAUUAAAGAAAAGCAGACACCUCAAGUUAGGGAAUUUAGCGCUUUUCUAGGAAUGGGAAGAUGCGAGAGUCCGGGCCCCUCGAGAUCGGCCCUUCGGUGUGUGUGCACCUCAGCUUCCUGCACCAGGUCCCUCCUUCCCAUCCUGGUCCCUGGGGGGCGGCGGGGGCGGGGGGGAGGCUUCGGUGGCUUGCUGGCUGCCGCAUCCUUAGCUUCCCGCUAUGGCAGCAGCAUUUUCGUCCGCAGGGGGUCCACGCCUCGCAUCGGUGUCAGGGGAGGGACAGUGAAGCCGUGCCCCCCGGCUCACCCCGCAGCUGCCCAGCUGGCUGUGGGCAGCGUCUGCCCCGGGGCACCCCAAGGGCCCGCACAUCUGGACGCCGGGCAGAACCGGCGGGAUCAGGGACAGGGGCUGAUUUCCAGGGCAGGGCAGGGCAGGGGCUCUCCUCCCCCUGAAGAGCGGGGGCCACUGGGGCUGUGUCUUGGUGGUGGGUGUUCCCCAGCCCUGCCUCUCUGCUUUCCUCAGAGCACGUGGGACUCUUGCUACUUGAAUCUGUGCCUCCCUGGUUGCAAGUCCUGUAGGAAGGGAGGG
rnacentral:lncRNA from 1 species